GAUAGGACAGAGGUGGAAGUGCAGUAAUGCAUGCAGCUGACUGUUACUAAUAGGUCGAAAGCUUGACCAAAU
rnacentral:rRNA from 1 species